rnacentral:rRNA from 1 species
CCUACGGGUGGCAGCAGUGGGGAAUAUUGGACAAUGGGGGGAACCCUGAUCCAGCCAUGCCGCGUGUGUGAAGAAGGCCCUCGGGUUGUAAAGCACUUUCAGUGAGGAAGAACGCCUGGUGGUUAAUACCCAUCAGGAAAGACAUCACUCACAGAAGAAGCACCGGCUAACUCCGUGCCAGCAGCCGCGGUAAUACGGAGGGUGCGAGCGUUAAUCGGAAUUACUGGGCGUAAAGCGCGCGUAGGUGGCUUGAUAAGCCGGUUGUGAAAGCCCCGGGCUCAACCUGGGAACGGCAUCCGGAACUGUCAAGCUAGAGUGCAGCAGAGGAAGGUAGAAUUCCCGGUGUAGCGGUGAAAUGCGUAGAGAUCGGGAGGAAUACCAGUGGCGAAGGCGGCCUUCUGGACUGACACUGACGCUGAGGUGCGAAAGCGUGGGUAGCAAACAGGAUUAGAUACCCGAGUAGUC